rnacentral:lncRNA from 1 species
CUAUAAUUAUGUAAGACUGAAAGUGUAGUGGAUCUACUCUUUUCAGCGUGUGUAGACACUGUUUUCUUAAGGUUUCUAUUUUUCAUUCUUGAUGUUCUGUUUUGUGGGUCUGUUCUCCGGUUAUUUACUUCAAUUUAGCUUUCUAUUUUUAUAUUGGUUGCCAUCGUUUAUGGCUGAGUCGGUCGCUUUGGGAGGUUGGAGUGCUUCGUUGUUGAUUGGUUUUCCUCGGUGUGAUUGGAGAGGCUUCAUAGGUGUUGCUUCAGGCGGUGAUGGUUGGCAACUUCGCAUGCAGAGUCGGUCGGUUUAAGGGGCGGCUGUUUGGAAACUAGUAUUGAGCGAGUCAAAUUGGACAUGGGCUUCCCUUAUUACGACCCAUGGGCUUAGUGAAACUUCUUAGAAACUUCCUCUUUGUAACUCACAUUUC